rnacentral:ncRNA from 1 species
CGCUCAUCCAGAGGGGCAGAGGGAACGGCCCGUUGAAGCCCCGGCAACCGGCACCCGACCAGCACCGCGACGCGCGGCUGGGAGGGACACGGUGCCAAUUCCGACCCGCUGCGCGGGAGAGAUGAGGA